AUGGCCGAAUCCGACCUCGAGGACAAGCUGAAUGCGAUCCGCAAGACCAACAGCAACCUGGUGAUCAUAGGCAAGCCUACCAACGACGUCAAGGAGGAGUACGACGCGGAGGUGGAGGAGGACGACGUCGACAACGUCGACGAGUCCGACGGGGACGACUUCGACCAAGAAACCGGCUGA
rnacentral:rRNA from 1 species